rnacentral:misc_RNA from 1 species
GUCGAAGAUGACGGCACGUUUGAUCUUGUUGCGAAUCAAUGUUUGCAAUAGGUAUCAUUUCUUCAUCCAUUGGAAGAGAGGUGUAGAAUCCUGAUGUGGAUAAAUUUCCGAGAGUGAAGGAGGUAAGUGCUUGAAGGUUCUCAGGGUCACCUGAAAUCGGUGAACGGACGAGCGGGGAAAGCACAUCGAGAAUGAAAGAAAGCUGAAGGAGGAACCAAAGAGAAUUUUAGCUAAGUAUUUAAUCGGUAUGCGUGCUUAUAAGGCAUUUCUUG